GUACAAGAAAGGAAACUGAAAGAAAAGGACAGAUCAAUUUAUCUGCAUGUUACCCUUUCUCUCUUAUAUUGUAUUGAUUGCACAGCCACAACUGUUAAUCUGAUAUCUCUUUUGUUGUUUUUUUUUUUUCUCUUUCUCAAGAACUUGAAAAUUCGAGUCUCUAUGCUUCUUCUUAUUCUUUGUUUUGAAUUUUACGUAACUGAGAAGGUAAAAGAUGUGAGACAGAUGAGAGAGAGAUGCCUCUCAGUGAUAGAUGGUUGAGUCACAUUACCACCCUGUACUUUCCUUCACUCAAAUCAAUCACAGUUUCAUCUGUUGCUGAUAAUCCUAGACUUUCUUAUGACAAACACAGGGAGGGAAAGGGAAAAAAAAGAGGAAAAAAUAGAGAAGGAAACAGGAAAAAAGAUACUCGUAUACCUGUUGUUCAUGUUUAUUGGUUCCUCUAAUGCCAUACUUUCUUUGAACCCCUCGCUGAACUAAACAUAUUUUUGGGAAUGUCAGUACUUUUCUGUAUUUCGCAUUUAUUUCCCUCUCUUUCUCUCCACUAUAUAAGCUCCAGCUAUCUCUUUCAACUACCAUCUCUUCUUCUUCUUGCCAUUUUACAUCACUUCGCAGCUCCUUUGAUAUUGAUAUUAUAGUUUUUCCUAGUUCUUUCUUUGCUUGUCUCUGUACUUUCUUUCUCUCUCAUGACUGCCUCGAGAUGUUUAUAUCAAUGGGAGAAACAGAACGAUAUUUCUACUUGCCUGAUAAAAUCUGUGAGAGGAAGUAUUGCUGCCAUGAGUUCAGUCCUAAACAGAGGAUGAGGCAAAAAUCAAAAUUUUGACGGUGCUAUCCUUGCUGAGCUUGAUCUUUUAUUUUUAUUUUUAUAUUUUUUUCUUGAUCUUGCAAGACUUUUUAUGUUUUGCAUUACUAUAUUAUUUAAUUUUUAUUUAAUUAAAAUUUAUAAUUUAUAAAAUCAAAAUUAUGAUAUUAUAUUUUAAAUUACCGCUGAUAAUUUAAUUUUUAAGUCAGUGUUACUGUCGACAAUUUUUUUUUUUUCUCCUUAUUUCCCGUUAAGUCUUUUAAAUUUGUUUAAAAUCACAUUCUUAGAUCACCUAUUCUACUUUUCUUCUUCUAAUUUAUUCCUCCUGAGCUUUGUUUACUCUGAAUUUCUUAUUUCUUUAGUGAACCCGGUGUAAUCUGAUGUUUACUUAUUAUUAUUUCGACUUUUAUUGUUAUAUAUUUCUGGAAUUUCUGUUUUUUAUUUUAUUUAAUCAAUUGUUAAGUACAUAUGCAAGAACGGCAGCUUGAUAUAAAGUAUUAUAGUUCAUAAUAAUCUUCUGUGCUAUUAAAGAAAGGAAAUGCUUGAAAUCUCCAAGGAAAAUCCUCUGCAUCUGAACAUGGGUUCUAAUGAUGGAAAGCAAUUUUGCAGUUUUCUUGACCAUACAUUAUUCCUGUGAAGUUAAAAGUUCUUUUAUAUUAGUAUGGUACUGGUCAAAACAGAAUGAUUAAUAGGUUUAAUGAUCAAGGCGCAUGUAGAAGUACUGGCAUAAGUAAUCUUUGACUUAGAUGCAUGUGGGGGGACUGUAAUGAAAGGAAAAGAAAACAGAAGUGUCCGAACUGGGAGAUGCACGAUUUCCUGCAAAAUGGACAGAAACUAUUUAAGACUUGCAUUUGGGUCAGAAGUCAGGAUACUGAUCAGGAGCAGCAGUGCGUUUACUUAGGAUUUUAGACAAUAGGAAUCCUUUGGUAUGCCCAUGUGCACCAUGCAUUAAAAUGAGGUUCUCAUCUCAGAAAUAAUCUUUGAAUGAAAGCAAAGUUUUAUAGAUGACCUUGUAAAUCUUACAACCCUUUUUUACUUGUUGGGAAUAUUGG
rnacentral:lncRNA from 1 species